AUUGAACGCUGGCGGCAGGCUUAACACAUGCAAGUCGAACGGUGAAGGAGAGCUUGCUCUCCGGAUCAGUGGCGAACGGGUGAGUAACACGUGGGCAACCUGCCCCAGACUUCGGGAUAACGCUUCGAAAGAGGUGCUAAUACCGGAUACGAACUCCUUGGGCAUCCUUGGAGUUGGAAAGUUUUUCGGUCUGGGAUGGGCCCGCGGCCUAUCAGCUUGUUGGUGAGGUAACGGCUCACCAAGGCGACGACGGGUAGCCGGCCUGAGAGGGCGACCGGCCACACUGGGACUGAGACACGGCCCAGACUCCUACGGGAGGCAGCAGUGGGGAAUAUUGCGCAAUGGGCGAAAGCCUGACGCAGCAACGCCGCGUGAGGGAUGUCGGCCUUCGGGUUGUAAACCUCUUUCAGCAGGGAAGAAGCGGAAGUGACGGUACCUGCAGAAGAAGCACCGGCUAACUACGUGCCAGCAGCCGCCGUAAAAC
rnacentral:rRNA from 1 species